AUUGAACGCUGGCGGCAGGCCUAACACAUGCAAGUCGAGCGGAUGAAGGGAGCUUGCUCCUGGAUUCAGCGGCGGACGGGUGAGUAAUGCCUAGGAAUCUGCCUGGUAGUGGGGGAUAACGUCCGGAAACGGGCGCUAAUACCGCAUACGUCCUGAGGGAGAAAGUGGGGGAUCUUCGGACCUCACGCUAUCAGAUGAGCCUAGGUCGGAUUAGCUAGUUGGUGGGGUAAAGGCCUACCAAGGCGACGAUCCGUAACUGGUCUGAGAGGAUGAUCAGUCACCUGGAAAGGAAGACAGGGCCCAGACCCCAAGGGGAGGAGGAGUGGGGAAAAUUGGGAAAUGGGGGGAAACCUUAUCCAGCCCUAGCGGGUGGGGGAAAAAAGGUUUCCGGUUUGAAAGCCCUUUUGAUGGGGAAGAAAGGGUGUUAAGUAAAAACCUGGGUGUUUGACGGUACCCAAAGAAAAAAGCCCGGGCAAAUUCGUG
rnacentral:rRNA from 1 species